GCACCUUGCGCUCCUUGGUAUUCCGAGGAGCAUGCCUGUUUGAGUGUCAUGAAAUUAUCAACCUUUCUGGCUUUUUAUGAGCUGGUCAGGCUUGGAUUGUGGAAGUUGCUGGCUUCUUUUUGAGAUCAGCUCUUCUUAAAUGUAUUAGCAAAAUUCUUGCUGGACCAUCUUUGGURUGAUAAUUAUCUAUACCAUUGAGAUCACAGCUUCCACUUCAGCGGAUUUCAGGCUCUGCUUGGAUUUAUUUCCAAGUGUUCGAUUCAACCGCUCUGAAGCACCAGCCUAGGCACAGACAUUAACUUGUUUGAUGGUGUUGAAUACUUCAGGUUGACGAAGCGAGGUGCUUCCUUAGGGAAGUGCUCACGARAGCAAGCAGUGUCARAGCAUCAUCAAGAUGUACUGAUAUGUGCACUGUCAUAUUCCUGUACCUACCCCUAGCUACUAUGUGGCUUUGAUGGGUUUGGUCAAACCAUGACCUGAACAUAUCCWUAGUGRGARGAUCUUGCUUCUAAUAUUGUUCCUAG
rnacentral:misc_RNA from 1 species